ensembl:lncRNA
GCAGUAUUGUGGGCGGCUGAACCAGGUGGAGCGAGAUGCUGCUUUGCGCGGCCGGGUGCUGUUUCAUCGCGUCCAGGAGUGCGCUGGACCACUGGCAGCCUGGGCAGGCGGCAGCGGCAUUGGCAUUCUUACAAUUGUAAAAUGAAAGGGAUGCAACGGGCUAGGUAGAUCCUGGCUGGCCAGAGGGUUUCAUUAAUCUGCAGAAUAAGGGCUGGAACANAUCCCUUAGCAAAUCGGGCUGCAAGGUCCUGGCCACUUCAGCGUGCAAAGAUGCUGUUUAAGAGGGUCCUGAUGGACGUAUAUAAAAUCAUGUGCUGUAUGGACAAGGUGGACAGAGAGAAAGACCGGGAGCAGGGGGCACUCUGGGACGCUGCUGGGCAGGAGAGUGAGGACCGGCAAGAAAUUGCAUAUUGUGUACCUUUGUAUGGUUUUGUCUUAUUUUUUAAAUCUUAUAUUUUUUAUUUAUUUUUAUAUAUUGUUUAUUUCUGGUUUUUAUUUGAAAAGUCUUUUAUGCAGUACUUUCCCCCUUUUCCUACCCUUUUAUUCCUGUUAAUAUAUAUUGUACCAACAAUAUAAUUGAUAAUUAUUAUACAACCUAUUCAUUCCAUGUAUUUUUGUUGCAUAGAUAAACAUUUCAAUUAUUCAGAAUCCCCCCCCCCGUCAUACCCUUCCCUAUCCCCAUUCCCCUUGCCCUGAAGUAACACCCUGAGGUAUAUAUCUUAAAUAUCAAUUUUAAUAGGUGAACUGAUUAGGAUCAAUCAAAUCUAACUUUCGCCGAAUGGUACUCUUGCAAGGAUGGUCAACCUCGAGGUUUUUCGCUGCUGAAGAGAUCNGAUGCCCCCAUCAGCCCAGCCCACGCAGCCAGAGAGCCACACAUUAUGCAGCCCUGCCCUGCUUAUGCUGUGCAGACAGCAGUAGAUAUCCAGGAAAAAAAAAUAUUCACUGUUGGUAAAGAUUCGUUUAGCAGAAACUCUCUGGACACUUGGCCUGGUAGGAUGAGUCAGCCAACUAGCCUCUUUCACGUAUGUACAUUUCAAGUCUCUCAGGGAAAAAGAAUCUGCUUAAAAACACACGUGGGUAAAGCAUUAGCUUUCCGAGAGAAAACACCACCUCGGAGCAAUGGUAAGAAGAACAAGAUGGGCACCGUGACAUUCUUUUUUUUUUCCAGAAUCCCAGUAGCAGCAAGCUGAAAAGAAACUCUUGUCCGACUUGGCUCUGGCCCUGACCCAUAUGGUUAUGGCCACACUCUGCCACGAUGAAGGUCCAAAGCAGCAAAAAGGAACCUGCUCAGCACGGGUUCCAGGCUCCUUGGCAGCAAAUGGACACAUGGACACCGGCCACAAAGUUACUCCAUCAUCUCUCCGUGAUAAAGAUGGACUCUUCUGUGUCAUCCUUCUCCUCCUCAGAGGCACCGUCAUCGUCCUCUUCGCUAGGUUGCUCCUUUGAAGAAUGGUCAGAAUCGGCAGCUACAAAAAAACAUGCAACAAUAAUAAUAGGAAAGAGUGGAACACUUAAUCCGUAGCUGGAAGAAGACAACACAAACUUUACAAAGACGACAUAGAAAGACAGAAUUAACUGACAACUAUGAUCCACUGGAACAUUGGUAAUGUAAUCCAUUUUCCAGUUACCUGUAUGCGCAUUUUUCUACUCAUUUUUACUCUUCUUUGCCAAUCAUUUCUUCUCUUUCAGUUUUUGCUUGCGAAGAAAGCCAAGAAGAGUUCAACAAAAAUCAAAAUCAUAAAGGCCUUAGUUGUUUAAUAUUUUUUCCCAUCCGGCAAAACUAGAAAGUUUCUGCGAGUUCUCAGAGAAAUCACCAAUAAAAUCCAUUCUUCAAUAGCUGUUUUUGUCGAA